AUCAGAAGAUGCCUUCGGAGACUCUUUACUCUCCGUGCCUGAAAGAACACAGAGUGAGUCAGUCGAACAGGAUUUGGAAGGACAGAGUUUUAUUUCUAUAAACGAAAGCUGCUUUAUGACUUCCACACCUUUGAAGGAAAUGGAAAUUCCAAGUCAUUCAACGAGAACAGAAACUAAGGUAUCAAAGUAUUGCAGAACCGGUCUAAAAUUCACUUCGUCG